UACGUAGGGUGCGAGCGUUAAUCGGAAUUACUGGGCGUAAAGCGUGCGCAGGCGGUUAGUUAAGUCUGAUGUGAAAGCCCCGGGCUCAACCUGGGAAUGGCAUUGGAAACUGGCUUGCUGGAGUGUGGCAGAGGGGGGUGGAAUUCCGCGUGUAGCAGUGAAAUGCGUAGAGAUGUGGAGGAACACCGAUGGCGAAGGCAGCCCCCUGGGCUGAGAUUGACGCUCAGGCACGAAAGCGUGGGGAGCAAACAGG
rnacentral:rRNA from 1 species